GGGGUGGUUGCUACGCUGCAUCUAGAAGUCAGAAAACAACACCGUGGAACUCAGAGGCAAACUUCAGUCGCCAGUUCUCUACCGUGUAGGGCCCAGUGAGUCCCAGGGGUCAAACUCAAGUAAGUCCGGCUUGGCCAGGAGGCCCUGUACCGGAUGAGCUAUCACAGUUGCCAGAAGGCAGAACGCUCAGGAAGAGAUGGGGUCCAUUGUGGAAAUGCGUGAUCGCUAUGGUCUGGGUGCUAGAUAGACCCACAAGAGGCUGUGUACUGAGGGUCUGGUUCCCACGGAAAGCAACGUUCAGACCUGGGACUUUGGGGAAGUGACUGGAUCAUAAGGUUUCUGUCUCCACCAAUAGCUUAAUCAACUGAUACCUCCAAAAUCAGCAUGCAGAGUUGAGAGGCACAGCCUGAGGACCUGUGAGGACCUCCUUGUCACUGACUACGCCACAGCAGCCAGGUGUCCCAAGCCCAAGGCAAGACAGAAGUCCUGCAGCAAACAGCAGCAAAAGGAAAAACUCAUCAUGAGAAAUCAUGAAUGUCUCUACAUUUUCAUGAUUUAGCCUGCUUUGUGUUUAGCAAAGAUGGCCUGGAAUGUAUAGAGGAAUCAGCGAUUGUCUGCAGGCUUACCAAAUCAACGUGUGUUUUUUACCUAUAUACAUAGCUAUACACACUUGGUGGAUGAAGCAAGGCUCCAGAAGCUCCAACAACAUACAUACCCAUACUUAAAUUUGAGAGAGCUAUCUCACAGUUCUUGGCUGCUGCACUGCCAGAUUUUUACAAGAACACCCUUCAAAUCCAAGAUGGCAGGAAUGCAGGGGUGUGGGAAGGAGUGUCCGAAGAAUGAAGUAUUCAGAACUGGAAUAGAGAAAAGUAAGG